rnacentral:rRNA from 1 species
AAUGAACGCUGGCGGCAGGCCUAACUCAUGCAAGUCGUACGAGUGGCGGACGGGUGAGUAAUGUCUGGGAAACUGCCUGAUGGAGGGGGAUAACUACCGGAAACGGUAGCUAAUACCGCAUACCAUCGGAUGUGCCCAGAUGGGAUUAGCUAGUAGCGGGGGUAAAGGCUCACCUAGUCUACGAUCCCUAGCUGGUCUGAGAGGUUGACCAGCCACAAUGGAACUGAGACACGGUCCAGACUCCUACGGGAGGCAGCAGUGGAGAAUAGUGCACAAUGGGAGCAAGACGGAGAUAGCCAUGACGCGUGUAUGAAGAAGGCCUUAGGGUUGUAAAGUAAUUUCAGCGGGGAGGCAUUACCCGCAGAAGAAGCCCCGGCUAGCUCAGUGCCAGCAGCCGCGGUAAUAC